rnacentral:pre_miRNA from 11 species
ACCAAAUCCUGCUCCGUCGCCCCAGUGUUCAGACUACCUGUUCAGGACAAUGCUGUUGUACAGUAGUCUGCACAUUGGUUAGACUGGGCAAGGAAACGCA